AUUGACUUGACAUAUUCAUUCUUCAUCUGAAAAACUUAAACCGAUCUUUUGAAAGCAUCACUCUUUAAAGACACAACUCAUCAAACGAAAGAAAGCGUAAGAUAUCGCUAAGCAAACAUGUAAAGCUCCGAAGAUAUUUAAGGUCCGCCUGUCCGUAUGAACUCCUCGAACUAGUGACCAUGGACGCACUUGAACUCUCUGUCUGGGCAUAUUUUUUCGCCUGUAGAGUAUCUUAUAGUGGCUUUCCGAAUAUGGAUUAAUCUGCAAAGUUAUUUAAGAAGUUUACUGGUUACAGAGGCGAUUUAAUUCAAAAUCAGUAACCGACAGUAUAGCAAGCACCAGACGUGGAAGUGACAAUUCUCAGAGUGAAAAUUCUUCGCGCCGAUCACUAGGUAAUGAGGAUGAUAGGGUCGAAACUUGGAAUGAAACCGGAAGCAGUUCAAGACAAGUCUUAUUGGCACCGGGCUCUCCCGCUUAUCAAGGAAUCACCACGUCCGAGUUGGUGCGUUGCGUUCUUGGCCGAUGUAAAACGGUUCAGACGGGAAGUUUCUGAAUUUAGUCAGGAAUGUGAAAUUCAGGUAGAACCUGAAAGUGAGGCUGAUGUCGAAUCGUUUUCCUUAUUUAUUAUGAAAGGAGAGUAUUCUGUUACGGCUGUGGAGUUGCAAAUGCAUACUAACCAAGUUGUAGUAAGUGUUCAAUAAACUCGGCAUGUCGAAGUCGCAAUUCAGACAGAACACUUUGAAUGCACUCCAGACCCAAGCAACAAUGACCGAAUAAUAAAAUGUUGCACAAACGACAGAUGGCCGAUCACAGCGGAUACCAGGACAUUUACAAACAGAGGUGGAAUACGAUGACAAAAAAAAGUUGUUUCAAAUUUACAUAGUACCGUCGGGUAAACAAGAUUUAUAUUUGGGAAUACAUUUCUGGGAGCUUUAUGAUUUAUUUCCAAAAGUCUGAUCAUAUCUGAGUUAGAUGCAACUGAGAAUGAUGGUAAUGUCAAAGUAUAUCAGCACAGAUUGUCCGAUGUAGAUAAGUCUAAACUAAAGAAUAUUGCUAAUUGCUUUAAUUGCUUCGUUCA